rnacentral:lncRNA from 1 species
AUUAUGAAUACUACUGCUAUAAACAUUCCUGUGCAAGUUUUUGUGUGAAUUUCUGUUUUUCAUUUAUCUUGUGUCUACACCUAGGAUUGGAAAUACUAGGUCAUAUGGGACCUCUGUGUUUGACCAUUUGAGAAGUUGUUGGACUAUUUUCGAAAGUGGCAACACCAUUUCUGAUUCCCAUCAGCAAUGUGUGAGUUUCUAAUUUCUCCACAUCCUCACCAGCACUGGUUAUUAUGACCUCCUUAUUACAGCCAUCUUACUGGGUGUGAAGUGGUAGCUCAUUGUAGUUUCGACUUGCAUUUACCUACUGACUAAUGAUGUUGAGCAUCUUUUCACAUGGAUAUUAGGGAUUUGUAUAACUUCUUUGAGAAGACGUCUAUUCAGGUCAUUUUCCUAUUUUUAAAUUGAGUGAUUUGUCUUUAUAUUAUUGAUUUGCAAGAGUUCUUCUCAUAUUCUAGAUACAAGUCCCUUAUCAGAUAAGUGAUUUGCAAAUCGUUUCUCUCAUUCUUUGGGUUGUCUUUUCACUUUCUUAAUAGUGUCUUUCGAAACAUAGAAGUUUUUAGUUGUGGUGAAGUCCGAUGUAUUUAUUUUUCUUGUGCAGCUGAUGCUUUUGGUAUCACAUCUAAGAUUUGUGUCACAUCCAUUGUCAAACCUGAGGUCAGGAAGAGCCCCCUGUUUUCUUCUAAGAGUUUUUACAGUUUUAACUCUUACAGUUAGGCCCUUGAUCUGUUUUAAGUUAAUUUUUUAUGUGGUGUGAGGUACAAAUAUAAUUUUGUUCUUUUGCUUGUGGCCCUCCAGUUGUCCAGCACCAUCUGUUGAAGAGACUAUUCUUUUCCUUGAAAGACCUUGGCAGUUUUGUCAAAACUCAGUUGACCAUAGAUACAUAAUUAUACUUCUGGAGUCUCAAUUUUAUUUCAUUGAUUUGUCUAUCCUAUGCCAGUACCACAAUGUCUCAAUUGCUGUUGCUUUGUAGUCAGUUUUGAAUCAAAAUAUGGGAAUCUUUUAACUUUGUUCUUUUUCAAGAGUGUUUUUUGGUUAUUCCAUGUCUGGUGCCAUAUAAUACGAAUUUUAGGAUGAGCUUAUUCGUUUCUAUAAAGAAGCCAGCUGUGAUUAUAAUAGGGAUUGCGCUGAAUCUGUAGAUCAAUUUUGGUUGUUAUCUUAACAAUAUUGUCUUUGAAUCCAUGAACAUGGGAUUUUUUUGUUGAUGUAGAUCUUUAUUUUAACAAUAAAACCAUAGGGCUCUUUGAAGGUGUUUCAGAACAGCUAUCUUUUGAGGUUGCCUACUCUUACCAACUCCUCUGUGAGAGCUGCCACAAAGUUCUGGGUCUCCAUCAUGUCCAAGGCAUUGAUGCAGCCCUAGGUGAAUAAGCCUAGGGAGUCAGCUGGAGGGGAACUGGGCUGGGUUUUGUCCUUCCCUUUAAAGGUCCUCCCUCCUGCAAGCCUGCCAAGGCAACUGGGUGCUCAUAGCUCCAGCUCAUUGCUAGAUCUUGGGUGUUCCCUUAACCUUGGUUUAAGAUCAGCUGUUCACUUUGUCUCUACACACUAUUCCUUUCCUCUUCAGAGCUGGGGAAUCAUCAUAUCUUAGGGUGCCCAAUCGUCUGAGUUUGUCCUUUCACGUGUGUGAGAAGGGCAUAAUCCAGUCUUUAUCAUGUGUGUUUCUACUACCCUCAGCACCACUUAUUGGAAAGGCCACUCUCUGCCACUGCAUUUCAGUGCCACCUUUGUCGUCAAUCAGGUGACCAUGAAUAGGAGGUCUGUUUCUGGUCUGUGCCAUUAGGUUAUUUGUCUGUUCUUGUUCUAAUACCAAAGUGUCUUAGUUAUUACAGCCUCAUAAGAUGUCUUGGUUUGGGUGGUUCAAAUCCUCCAGCCUCUGUCUCUGUCAGAAUUGCCUUGGCUCUGGAUCAUUUACAGUUCCAAGUAAAUUUUAGGAUCAGCUUAUCAAUUUUAAGAAAAGCACCUAGUGGAAUUUGAGAUUGUACUAAAUCUAUAGGUCAGUUUAGGGAGGAAGAGUUGACAUCAUCCCAACAGGUAAUUUUCCAAUCCAUGAAUAUGGAAUAUUCCUUCAUUUAUUAAGAUUUUAAAAUUUUCUCUCAGUACAGUUUUGUGGUUUCCUGUGCAGACAUCUUGCAUAACUUUGGUAGCUUUCUAAGUAUUUGCUGUUUUUAAUGCUAUUGUAAAUGGCAUUGAAAAUUUUUAAAUGGCAUUUUUAAAAUUCCUGUUAUAAAAAUACUGUUAUUGUCAUAGAAAUACAGUUGUAUAUUGACCUUGUAUGCAUUAAUCUUGCUAAAUGUAUUUAUUAAACCUCAUACCUUGUAAGUUAUUUUUGGUUCUCUUAUAAUGCUAAUUUUAAUAUAUUUUUUUCCCCUAAUUUGCUUGGUCAGUAACUGUUUGGUUGCAGGCAGCAGAAACUUCCUCCAGGAAGUUCAGAUAAAAGUGAAGAUAGUAUCAGGCCCCAGAGGCAUGCUGGGAAAGCCAGAGCAAGGAAUUCAGUGGGGCUUCAUGGGAACUCCUCCCUUGGGAUCUCUCCCCUUUGGACCAUGAAAUCCAGAUCUCCACACCUCUGUGCACCUCUACUCUUUCCUGCCCACUUGCCAGUCUGGUGUCUGCUGUCUUAGCACUAUGUAAGCCCCAGCUCAGAUUCCGUAGCCAUGCACCAACGCCCAUCCCAUCAGGCCUCAGUGUUCUAGGCCAAUCUGAUGGCUCUGAGUUAGUUGUCCCGGCUACCUUGUUCACUGUAGUAGGAGGGCAGGGUGGUGAGACAGUGAUACAGUGAGCAGUGUUCUCCAACACAUAAUCCUGCCUAUUCACAAGAAAACUUGGAAAAUAUUAAUGUAAUGUGUAAGUUUUCACCUCCCAGAUAUACCUACUGUUAAUUUUGCUGUAACUCUGACUAGUAUUUUUUCUAAAUAUAUGUAUAUUUUUAUAUAUUAUUUAUUUUCCCUCUACAUAGAAAUUUACAAAUUGAAAUUACGUUCUACAUAAACAGUAUUAUAUAUAUAUAUGCUUGUUUUACCUAAUUUUAUGUCAUUUGAGGUUGACGAUUUUAUUAGAUAUACUUCAAAAACAAUCUUUAUGGUUUAAUAGAAUAUAUAAUAUUCCAUUACAAUGGCUAUAUCAUAAUUUAAUGACCAAUUCCUAUUUUGAGCCAUUUGGGUUCUUUCCAGUUUUUUGAUAAAUAUUGCCAUAGCUAACAAUUUUGGACUUAAAAGUCUUGUCUAAUAUCUGAUUAUUUCUUUCAGAUUGAUUCCUUGGAGUGGAAUUAGUAAAAAGGAUAUGAAUAUUUUUAGUCUCUUGAUAUGUUAGACUGAUUUCCAGAAGGCUUGUACCAAUUUACUCUUCUACCGACAACUUUUCACCACCUGGAAGUGGGGAGUCAGCUCCAGCACAGAGCUUUGCGGGAGGACAAAAGAGACGAUGUGGAUAAAGUGCUCCGCAGAUCAUCAGGGGCGGCAAAGCUGCGCCGUUAUCAGGGCCUGGGAUCGGCCCAGCGAGCUCAAAGCACAAGGACUCACAUUCAAAAAUCACUCUUCGGCAUAUUGACACUUCAGUUAUCAACAACUGUUUUUAUCUGCUGGGAGGGAGAUCGCAGCUCGUGGGGCCGGAGUAAGCCACAAAUCACUGCCGCCGCCGCCUCUCUGCAUUCUCUUAAUUGUAUGUAUUCUCUGGAUAAAAUGAUCAUUGUGGCCUCUUGUCUUGAUGAGAAAUUGACAUUUCUGAGGACUUCUUUGGGCGCUCCGAGCAAGCGAGAUAAGGCGUGGGUUGUUUUAGAGGAGAGCAGCCUUUCUUCCCUUUCAGGGGCCUCUUUACUGCUUGCGUUGACCCACUUGAUGAGUAUGGAUUUCAUGAGGUCUUUUUCAGCAUUUGAACUAUAAAAGGUUCAGAAUGACACCACCCCUUAUAGACAAAAGAUAACCUUGCCCUUUGAAUAUAUUGAUUCUUUAUUAACUAGGCUGUUUAAUGCAAUGAAAUGAGGCAUUAGAUUGAAGCCCAUUUCAAGUGCUUUGAAUAAUCUUUAAAAGCUUGAAAGACCUUAAAAGGCGGCCUGACAAUAAUUGGCAUGCAUUUUGAAAGAAGGCAGUUCUUGCUUCUGAUUUGAAACACAAACAUAAAAUAAUUUCUCCAUCCCCGGGUUACAGGGCGUUGGGUACUUGUGGCACCAGCGCAGAAUGGGAAGGUGGUGACUUGCCCAGCCACUGCUUGUCCCAGCCCCAGCCCCAGCCUCCAGCCACUUGGAAGGGAGCCUGCAGGGGAGGGGAGUGGGCAGGCUUCAGGCUUGUACCUUAUAAGCCUCUCUCUUUGCUGUCUCUUUAAGGCUGAAAUGAGAACCUGAUUGUCAAUGACACGACAAAAAGGUAUUCACAAGUUUCUUUAUGUUUUGAAUAAUUGUUUCCUGUUUUGCUCAGCAGAACAAGUAAUUAAGAUGACAUUUGUGAGUACUAAUUUGGAUCACACUUAUGUGUAUGUGUUAUAAAGCUGCAAGCCAAAACAUGCAAACCCAGCCUUUCAUGGAGGAGAAAAUGAAAAAAUACCGAGUGAAAUGGGAGCAUGGGAAACUCGGAGGAGCUGAACAUCGGCGUGUAAAUUAGAACCUCAGUGUUGAUAGCAGAUCUCAUUAUAGUCGGUGCAUUUGGCUACCGACCUGCAGCCAGCAGUGCCCGGGGCUAGUGCAUGGGGUCUGCUGUGCCACUGUGGUGGCAGUGGCAUCCGUGAUGCCCCUCUUGCAGAACGUAGGCAGCGCAGGCAUCUGGGUGCCCUGGUAUCUGCACACCCAUCCAGAGCCUUUGCUGCUGUGUCACUCUUCUAAGCCUGGUUCUUGCCCAGUGGAACCCAACCAUGGAACCAAAAGAAGCAUGUGUCUGGGGUCACCGGAGCCGUUGUUCUCUACCUGCCCAGUGCGCUAUUCAGAAGCAGAGGGGCUGGGGCAGAAGGUCUGGAGGGAGUGGGUUAUGAAGCCCCUCAGUGAGCCUUGGGAUUGUUUGAGUUCUCAAAGACAAGUGCUGGAACAGUGAUUGUGUCACCCCAGUGCUGCUGUGGCCCACAGAACAUCUGUGACACAGAAACAUCAGCCAGAGUGCAGCAUGAAUACAGAUGGCACCUCUGGGGGUCAGGACCACGUAAGUGACAAUUUGCUGAACCUCUCUUUCUAUGCAGGUUAGAGGACGGAGGCUGGAUAAC